rnacentral:rRNA from 1 species
CCUACGGGUGGCAGCAGUGGGGAAUAUUGGACAAUGGGCGAAAGCCUGAUCCAGCCAUGCCGCGUGUGUGAAGAAGGCCUUCGGGUUGUAAAGCACUUUCAGUGGGGAAGAAAGCCUUGGGGCUAAUACCCUCGAGGAAGGACAUCACCCACAGAAGAAGCACCGGCUAACUCCGUGCCAGCAGCCGCGGUAAUACGGAGGGUGCGAGCGUUAAUCGGAAUUACUGGGCGUAAAGCGCGCGUAGGCGGUCUGAUAAGCCGGUUGUGAAAGCCCCGGGCUCAACCUGGGAACGGCAUCCGGAACUGUCAGGCUAGAGUGCAGGAGAGGAAGGUAGAAUUCCCGGUGUAGCGGUGAAAUGCGUAGAGAUCGGGAGGAAUACCAGUGGCGAAGGCGGUCUUCUGGACUGACACUGACGCUGAGGUGCGAAAGCGUGGGUAGGAAACAGGAUUAGAUACCCGUGUAGUC